rnacentral:lncRNA from 12 species
UUUGUUUUUCAUUAAGAAGCCCCUAGCUGUGUGCUGAGAAUGAGGGGCUUAAGCCACAGACCAGAAACUGGAACUUGCUGGGGUGGUUGGCAUCUCCUUACGGGUGUUUGUUCUUCCCUCCCCUGGCAGAUGUGCAGACUUGGGCAGCACAAGCCCAUCUGUAAAGUACUGCGGGACGGGAUCAUGCAGGUGGGCAAGAGCGUGGCGCAGAAGCUGACGGACGAGCUGGUGAGCGAGUGGUUCAGCCAGCCCUGGGGCUCCGAGGACUGCGACAAUCAUUCCCGCCUCAAGCUGUACGCGCAGGUCUGCCGCCAUCACCUUGCACCUUACUUGGCCACCCUGCAGCUGGACAGCAGCCUCCUGCUGCCGCCCAAGUACCAAACGCCGGCUGCGAGCCAGCCGCCGGGAGCUGCCGGCAGCUCCGGGCCCAAAACCACAGUGUGCGUUUUUUAAAGGUGCACAUUAUGGUCUGUUCAAAAAUUUAAAAGAUGUAACAAGGCUUUAUCUUAAGUUCUUCCAAGUUAAAUUUGCCUGCUUCAGAAAGUUGUGUUGUUUGUGACUCUGGGGAUUGUAUCAGAGAUUCGAAUUCUUAUAGUUUUAGAAAAGUCAGUUCGGUAUAAGGUGUUUGUGUAUCACAAAUAUCACACAAUGACAGUCUGGUCUGGUUGGAAGGGACCAUAAAACUCAUCCAUUCUCUUAGCAUUUGUAUACCCUUAGAAUGUUGUAGAAGUGCAGGGAACAUCAUCGGAGUUGAAGUUUGAUGCAGGUUCCUUUGAUCUGACUGUCAUGGAUCCCUCUUUCCAUGCCAUUUCAGCACCUUACUUGGCCACCCUACAGCUGGACAGCAGCCUCCUGCUGCCGCCCAAGAACCAAAGGCCGGCUGCGAGCCAGCCGCAGGCAGCUGCCGGCAGCUCGGGCCCCGCUCCCUCCAGCUCCUCCUCGUGUCUCGGCCGCCGCCGGCGCCCCGGCCACGGGCAGCUCCUUCAGCUCCACGUUCUUCAUCCAAAGGUAGAAGGACAGGCUGGAACAGGCUCCCCAAGGCAGCGGUGACAGCCUGCCAGAGCUGCAGGAGUGCUCGGACAGCACUCUCAGGCCCAUGGUGGGAUACGGGUGCAGGAAUAUGAGAUGGACUCGAUGGUCCUGAUGGAGCUCUUCCACCCUGGAACGUUCUGUGUGAUGGCACACAAGCACUUGUGUGUGUUAUCACACGGCCCAAGAGUGGGAAUGAGUUACAGACUCUGUCCCGCUCACACAGCCUCGAGAGGCCGAGCGGCUCCGCGGCGCUGGCAGGGCAGGUGACAGCAGUGUCGCCAGCCCCUGGGCCGCGGCCAUGGCUCGCACCACGAUCCACUCAGGCUCUACAUGACGGGCCAGAGCGCCGCCCGCUCGCCUCCUCUGGCAUGCCGGUGAGCUCAGCGGUGACGCGGGUGUCACUCACACGGCCGUGACGCCAUCACCGCGCCGGGUCACGCCCGUGGGGACCGAGGGCUCAGCGUUACCCGGGCCGCGAGCCGCGGGGGGGGGGGGGGGGGGGGGGGGGGGGGGGGGGGGGGGGGGGGGGGGGGGGGGGGGGGGGGGGGGGGGGGG